rnacentral:rRNA from 1 species
CACGUAGGGCGCAAGCGUUGUCCGGAAUUAUUGGGCGUAAAGAGCUCGUAGGCGGUCUGUCACGUCGGCUGUGAAAACCCGAGGCUCAACCUCGGGCCUGCAGUCGAUACGGGCAAACUAGAGUACUGCAGGGGAGACUGGAAUUCCUGGUGUAGCGGUGAAAUGCGCAGAUAUCAGGAGGAACACCGGUGGCGAAGGCGGGUCUCUGGGCAGUAACUGACGCUGAGGAGCGAAAGCGUGGGGAGCGAACAGG